CUGAUGCGUUGUUGGGUAGGGGAGCGUUCUGUAAGCCUGUGAAGGUGGCCUGUGAGGGUUGCUGGAGGUAUCAGAAGUGCGAAUGCUGACAUAAGUAACGAUAAAGCGGGUGAAAAGCCCGCUCGCCGGAAGACCAAGGGUUCCUGUCCAACGUUAAUCGGGGCAGGGUGAGUCGACCCCUAAGGCGAGGCCGAAAGGCGUAGUCGAUGGGAAACGGGUUAAUAUUCCCGUACUUGGUGUUACUGCGAAGGGGGGACGGAGAAGGCUAUGUUGGCCGGGCGACGGUUGUCCCGGUUUAAGCGUGUAGGUGUGUGUUCCAGGUAAAUCCGGUUCACUUUAACACUGAGGCGUGAUGACGAGGCACUACGGUGCUGAAGCAACAAAUGCCCUGCUUCCAGGAAAAGCCUCUAAGCAUCAGGUAACAUCAAAUCGUACCCCAAACCGACACAGGUGGUCAGGUAGAGAAUACCAAGGCGCUUGAGAGAACUCGGGUGAAGGAACUAGGCAAAAUGGUGCCGUAACUUCGGGAGAAGGCACGCUGACACGUAGGUGAAGUGAUUUACUCAUGGAGCUGAAGUCAGUCGAAGAUACCAGCUGGCUGCAACUGUUUAUUAAAAACACAGCACUGUGCAAACACGAAAGUGGACGUAUACGGUGUGACGCCUGCCCGGUGCCGGAAGGUUAAUUGAUGGGGUCAGCGCAAGCGAAGCUCCUGAUCGAAGCCCCGGUAAACGGCGGCCGUAACUAUAACGGUCCUAAGGUAGCGAAAUUCCUUGUCGGGUAAGUUCCGACCUGCACGAAUGGCGUAAUGAUGGCCAGGCUGUCUCCACCCGAGACUCAGUGAAAUUGAACUCGCUGUGAAGAUGCAGUGUACCCGCGGCAAGACGGAAAGACCCCGUGAACCUUUACUAUAGCUUGACACUGAACAUUGAGCCUUGAUGUGUAGGAUAGGUGGGAGGCUUUGAAGUGUGGACGCCAGUCUGCAUGGAGCCGGCCUUGAAAUACCACCCUUUAAUGUUUGAUGUUCUAACGUGGACCCGUGAUCCGGGUUGCGGACAGUGUCUGGUGGGUAGUUUGACUGGGGCGGUCUCCUCCUAAAGAGUAACGGAGGAGCACGAAGGUUGGCUAAUCCUGGUCGGACAUCAGGAGGUUAGUGCAAUGGCAUAAGCCAGCUUGACUGCGAGCGUGACGGCGCGAGCAGGUGCGAAAGCAGGUCAUAGUGAUCCGGUGGUUCUGAAUGGAAGGGCCAUCGCUCAACGGAUAAAAGGUACUCCGGGGAUAACAGGCUGAUACCGCCCAAGAGUUCAUAUCGACGGCGGUGUUUGGCACCUCGAUGUCGGCUCAUCACAUCCUGGGGCUGAAGUAGGUCCCAAGGGUAUGGCUGUUCGCCAUUUAAAGUGGUACGCGAGCUGGGUUUAGAACGUCGUGAGACAGUUCGGUCCCUAUCUGCCGUGGGCGCUGGAGAACUGAGGGGGGCUGCUCCUAGUACGAGAGGACCGGAGUGGACGCAUCACUGGUGUUCGGGUUGUCAUGCCAAUGGCACUGCCCGGUAGCUAAAUGCGGAAGAGAUAAGUGCUGAAAGCAUCUAAGCACGAAACUUGCCCCGAGAUGAGUUCUCCCUGAGACUUUAGGUCUCCUGAAGGAACGUUGAAGACGACGACGUUGAUAGGCCGGGUGUGUAAGCGCAGCGAUGCGUUGAGCUAACCGGUACUAAUGAACCGUGAGGCUUAACCUU
rnacentral:rRNA from 1 species